rfam:Felis catus isolate Cinnamon breed Abyssinian chromosome D1, whole genome shotgun sequence.
GCCUGGGUGGCUCAGUCGGUUGAGCGUCCGACUUCGGCUCAGGUCAUGAUCUCGCGGUUCGUGGGUUCGAGCCCCGCGUCGGGCU